UACGAAGGGUGCAAGCGUUAAUCGGAAUUACUGGGCGUAAAGCGUGCGUAGGCGGUUGGUUAAGUCUGUCGUGAAAGCCCUGGGCUCAACCUGGGAAUGGCGAUGGAUACUGGCCAGCUAGAGUGUGAUAGAGGAUGGCGGAAUUCCUGGUGUAGCGGUGAAAUGCGCAGAUAUCAGGAAGAACACCAAUGGCGAAAGCAGCUUUCUGGGACGGUACUGACGCUGAGACGCGAAAGCGUGGGGAGCGAACAGG
rnacentral:rRNA from 1 species